rnacentral:lncRNA from 1 species
CUGGAUCCUCCACGCCGGUAAAGACAGCCUUAACCGGAACCACGCUCGUAGGAAUAGGCGUGUCAGUAAUCGCCUGAACAAAAGGCAUAGGGAAAACACGAGGUGGCGAUGACGGCGCCACCUCUUCAGCAGAAGAACGCCCUUGCUGCUCCUGAAGAGCUUGACGCAGCUCCUCAGUCACCUUGCUGAGCUCCUCAUUCCUGGCGCGAGAGGCGACCAGGUCCUCAUGCAUUCUCGCCUGCUCUAUGCGUGAGGCUUCCACAGUUGCCUGCAACGAACGCAUCAUCUCUGCCAUCUGCGCCAUGGUCAUGGCAGCGGCG